UACGUAGGGUGCGAGCGUUGUCCGGAAUUAUUGGGCGUAAAGAGCUCGUAGGCGGUCUGUCGCGUCGGUCGUGAAAACUUGGGGCUUAACCCUGAGCUUGCGGUCGAUACGGGCAUGACUGGAGUUCGGCAGGGGAGACUGGAAUUCCUGGUGUAGCGGUGAAAUGCGCAGAUAUCAGGAGGAACACCGGUGGCGAAGGCGGAUCUCUGGACAGUUCCUGACACUGAGGCACGAAGGCCAGGGGAGCAAACGGG
rnacentral:rRNA from 1 species